AUUGAACGCUGGCGGCAUGCCUAACACAUGCAAGUCGAACGGUAACGGGCCUUCGUGUGCCGACGAGUGGCGGACGGGGGAGUAAUACAUCGGAACGUGCCCGAUCGUUGGGGAUAACGAGUCGACAGGUUUGCUAAUACCGCAUACGAUCUACGGUUGAAAGCCGGGGGCCGCAAUGGCUUGCGCCGGCUGAGCGGCCGAUGACGGAUGAGGUCGUUGGUGGGAUAAAAGUUUACCAAGCCGACGAUUUGUAGCCGAACUGAGAGGGUGCUCGGCCACACUGGAACUGAGACACGGCCCAGACUCCUACGGGAGGCAGCAGUAGGGAAUCUUCGGCAAAGGGCGGAAGCCUGACGCAGCAAGGCCGCGUGAGUGAUGAAGGUCUUCGGUUCGUAAAACUCUGUUUUUAGGGAAGAACAGCUUUCUAAUUAGACAGGAAGGUCAUGACGGUACCGUAUCAAUAAGCACCGGCUAACUACGUG
rnacentral:rRNA from 1 species